rnacentral:tRNA from 1 species
AAAUAAGAAACAAAAUAUUGUAGUUAGUUUCGACCUAAAAUUUUGGUGAUUACACCCUUAUUUA